rnacentral:rRNA from 1 species
AUCCUACGGGAGGCAGCAGUGAGGAAUAUUGGUCAAUGGACGAGAGUCUGAACCAGCCAAGUAGCGUGAAGGAUGACUGCCCUAUGGGUUGUAAACUUCUUUUAUAUGGGAAUAAAAUGUUCCACGUGUGGGAUUUUGUAUGUACCAUAUGAAUAAGGAUCGGCUAACUCCGUGCCAGCAGCCGCGGUAAUACGGAGGAUGCGAGCGUUAUCCGGAUUUAUUGGGUUUAAAGGGUGCGUAGGCGGAAUGCCAAGUCAGCGGUAAAAUCGCGGGGCUCAACAUCGCUCCGCCGUUGAAACUGGCGU